rnacentral:rRNA from 1 species
AUUCUGGUUGAUCCUGCCAGAGGUUACUGCUAUCGGGGUCCGACUAAGCCAUGCGAGUCGAGAGGGUAAAGCCCUCGGCGUAUUGCUCAGUAACACGCGGAUAACCUGCCCUUGGGUUCGGGAUAACCCCGGGAAACUGGGACUAAUACCGGAUAGAUCAAAGAAACUGGAAUGUUCUCUGGUCGAAAGCUCCGGUGCCCAAGGAUGGGUCUGCGGCCUAUCAGGUAGUAGUGGGUGUAACGUACCUACUAGCCU